AUGUUUGAAAGGGAGAACAUUGACAUGAAUUUUGAGGCUUAGAGCGGUCAUAUUCACUCACCGAACGAACGAACGAACGAACGAACGAAUGAUCGAAUGAACGAAAGGUAGUCAGACAGACACGGUUGGAACAAAAUAAAUUUGAGAUUGUUUAA